rnacentral:rRNA from 1 species
UACGUAGGGGGCAAGCGUUGUCCGGAAUUAUUGGGCGUAAAGCGCGUGUAGGCGGCUCGGUAAGUCUGCUGUGAAAGUCCAGGGCUCAACCCUGGAAUGCCGGUGGAUACUGUCGAGCUCGAGUCCGGAAGAGGCGAGUGGAAUUUCUGGUGUAGCGGUGAAAUGCGCAGAUAUCAGGAGGAACACCAAUGGCGAAGGCAGCUCGCUGGGACGGUACUGACGCUGAGACGCGAAAGCGUGGGGAGCAAACAGG